rnacentral:ribozyme from 1 species
CAAACAAAAAAAAAAUGAAGAAAAAAUGUAUGAUGUAUGACCACACAGUAUAAACCAUAUUCCCUAGCGCACUCCAUUUCUCUUUUUCUCAGUGGGUUCCUUCUUUUCUUU